AUGAAGCCGAAUGAAUCAGAGGCUCAGAAGCAACAACAGUGCAAAUCCGGUUCAGGUGGAGCGAGGCUGAGUCGGGCUGCAGUGGCGGCUCGGCGCGCCGGCGAGGCCGGUUCAGGCGCAGCGAGGCCGAGGCGAGCUAUAGUAGUGGCUCGGCGCGCCGGCGAGGCCAGUUCAAGCGCAGCGAGGCUGGACGGCUCGGGGCCGGCGAUUCAACGACGGCGGGUGUGGGGUGUCUCGAAGGCGUCUUGGAGCAGAGUUGACCCGGCGAAACAACUUCAGGGGCGGCUCAGGCAACGGCGGUUUACCUGUGGCAAGCUUUGGUGA
rnacentral:rRNA from 1 species